rnacentral:rRNA from 1 species
AACGAACGCUGGCGGCAGGCCUAACACAUGCGAGUCGAGCGAGGACUUCGGUCCUAGCGGCGGACGGGUGAGUAACGCGUGGGAACGUGCCCUUUGCUUCGGAAUAGCCCUGGGAAACUGGGAGUCAUACCGGAUGAGCCCUUUGGGGGAAAGAUUUAUCGGCCAAGGAUCGGCCCGCGUUGGAUUAGGUAGUUGGUGGGGUAAUGGCCUACCAAGCCGACGAUCCAUAGCUGGUUUGAGAGGAUGAUCAGCCACACUGGGACUGAGACACGGCCCAGACUCCUACGGGAGGCAGCAGUGGGGAAUCUUAGACAAUGGGGGAAACCCUGAUAGAGCCAUGCCGCGUGAGCGAUGAAGGCCUUAGGGUUGUAAAGCUCUUUCAGCUGGGAAGAUAAUGACGGUACCAGCAGAAGAAGCCCCGGCUAACUCCGUG